GGCCUCGUAGCUCAGUUGACUAGAGAGUUGGCUGUUCUAAAGCCUUCUCCUUGCUAGCGUGGGUUCGAAUCCCAACGAGACCA
rnacentral:tRNA from 1 species